rnacentral:rRNA from 1 species
GACGAACCGUGCGAACGUUGUUCGGAAUCACUGGGCUUAAAGGGCGCGUAGGCGGGCUGCCAAGUCUGGGGUGAAAUCCCACGGCUCAACCGUGGAACUGCCUCGGAUACUGGCGGCCUCGAGGGAGGUAGGGGCGUGCGGAACUGUGGGUGGAGCGGUGAAAUGCGUUGAUAUCCACAGGAACUCCGGUGGCGAAGGCGGCACGCUGGACCUUUUCUGACGCUGAGGCGCGAAAGCCAGGGAGCAAACGGG